UACAGAGGGUGCAAACGUUGUUCGGAAUCACUGGGCGUAAAGCGGGUGUAGGCGGCUUGGUAAGUCGGAUGUGAAAUCCCAGGGCUCAACCCUGGACGUGCACUCGAAACUACUGAGCUUGAGUUCUGGAGAGGAAGGCGGAAUGCUUGGUGUAGAGGUGAAAUUCGUAGAUAUCAAGCGGAACACCGGUGGCGAAGGCGGCCUUCUGGACAGUGACUGACGCUGAGACCCGAAAGCGUGGGGAGCAAACAGG
rnacentral:rRNA from 1 species